UUACAUAGUUAGCUAAUAGCGUUCUUAGGUUAUAUCAGAUGAGUGGCUGACCUGCGGGUGUAAAAUAUCCACUAAAGUCCCCGUUAGAAGGAUAUAGAGUUCCAGCUAGCGACAAUCCCAUCUUGGUUGUGGAAUCUGACUGACCUUCAAAUGACAGCUUCUAUAUUUUCAGCAAUAGCAUGAAUGCCACGGUCCAGCUUCAAAGUCUAUUCAUUAUUUGGAGCAGGCGGGCUUGAUUUGCAUGGGCUUAAUACAAAAUAACGAUCUGGAUCGCAUCGAACUACUUGUUCAUGGACAAGUUGUCCAAUACUUAUUGUCAGAUUGGAAAGAAAUCAGGCGUCGACCCUCGGGAAAAGAACCAUAACGACCUCUAACGACGAGUCUGGGGAAUAUCGAUGCUGCCCAAAAUGACUCAAUUAAACUCAAGUUCAAAUUUCCCAUCAGUAAAAUAAUAAUUCAGAAAGCUGUUGACCUCAGUGAGGGUUCUUUAGUUUACCCGAGCAACACACCCAUUUUAUUCUGAGUAAUAUUGGUGUGGUCGCUGGCAAAGUUUGGUGUUUUUUAAACAUUGAUUUAUUUUGCCAAAGCAGCUCUCCCCCAUCAAUUUCGCCUGCAAAUCAAAUACAUACACAGAGUACGUUUGAGUAUGAACCGUACAUUGACCACUGGGAAGGCGGCAUCCGCACAAUCAGCAGGAAAAGAAGUUAAACAAACAAGCGCACACCCGGGAAGAUUUAGUUACACUUAUCCGCUGGCUCUGGCAACUUCAGCUCAUACUCCCCAUCACCCUGCACCACAUCAGGGCCCGGGUUCGGAUACUUGACUUCGAAAUUCGUCAUGGGUGUCUGGCACCCGUUAUCGAUAUUCGCAAACAGGAAGCUUGGGCGGUCAUUGAAAGGCACUGCUGGUGGCGUCGUCGUCGCUGAAGCACCAUUGCUGCUGGUGUCGCUCGAACUACCACCACCACAUGUACAUGUACAUGAGCCUGUAUCUCGCUGGCUAUACUGGUGGCCUUGCGACAAGCCCCAGUCGCGCCGGUGGCGCCCGUUCCUAUGCCCAGAAUCUGAACGUGACACAAAAUCUUGCCCCCCCCCCUUUUUUUCCGCUCCAGUGAUCUCCACUGCCGCACAAAGCAUAUUAAAUUCCCUCUCCCGGUUAAUCCACGUCCACGCAAAUACUUGUACGCCAACCGGUGUGUCUCUGGGGACCGUAAAUUCAAAUGUCUGCUUCCCCGGGUCCGUCCCGCCGUUCCGAUACGGGCAAUUGCCUUCAAAACUCUUCACUACUUUCCAUGUCGCGCCUUUGUCGACACUGAACCCGACCUGGCAUGAGCCACCGUAAUGGUUCCCUGUACCUGUGAGGCUAAAAUUUUGCUGCGACCCCGCAGCCCAGGAAGCAACGGAUUGGCCCUGUGGUGUGCUCAAAUGGCUUAGGUACCCUUUGCAGGGGAAAGGUGUGGUGCGGCCGCAACAAUUAUAGGGAUAGUCGAGGUAAGAGUCUGGCGCGUUCGUUAGGUGCGGAUUGUUUGCGGCUGCGAAUGGUGGUGGGUGGUAGAGACCCAUAUGAGCCUGCGCAAGAGUGGCUAGGCCAAUCAAGUAGAGGAUUUUGGCUGAUGAGAGCAUCCCUUGGUCGGUCUAUUGCUGCUGGUUUUUCUGUAGACCACCUGAGCGACUUUCUAAUGAAGGAAAUGACAGAACUGCGAUAGCAAGACGGGGUUUGUAUGUUCCGUGUCACAGAUACGGGUGUCUGGUUUUUAGAAGCUUCGAAGAUGUAGAAGGUUCGGGUAGAUUAUGGAGAUCAGGUAUUUUGGAGAAUGGAUAAAGCAUGAACACAAAGAGAAUCUCGAUAAUAAAGAAAACAGGCGUGGGUCUAUUGUUUAGUAUUUAUUCACAUG
rnacentral:sRNA from 1 species